rnacentral:lncRNA from 1 species
GGAUUUUCCAGGCUUUACUGUCUUUCUGCAAGUCGAAGGCAACGUAGUUACAAUAAACAGGCACAAGAUGAUUAUGAACACACAGUCCGGACCUCGGUAUUUACAGACAACAGACACCACCUCGGUUCCUUUGAGAGACCUCCUGGCCAUGAUGUGUCAUGCAUGCAUUUCAGAAGACUGAUGGUCAAAGAGCGAGUCCUGCUGUGAUUUCAAAUGGCAGUCUCAGGAAGGGCUGGGAUUCAAAGACGGGAGCCCAGUUUUGAGAUAUCAGACUCCUUACUCAGGCUGCUAGACACAUGUGCAUAGCAAAUGGAAUCUGAACUUAGCUUAACAGCCUCAUUUAUUCCUGAUGGUUUAAAUUAUUUCAUCACAAUUAAUGACACCCCCUCAGCUUCCUGUGCAGCGCUGCCAGAUGUUCAGAGACCACAAAGCCACUCUCUUCUUUGACGGCUAGUGACAAGUCGUCCUCUGAAGGACGUUCCCUCAGUACACAGGCCGGAUGACACCUCCACUGCUUAGCACCUCUCCACCUCCCUGGGUAACCAUGGUGAGAGAAGGAGGAAGACAUGAGAAACCAGCCCGUGCAUUAGUAAGGACAAAUUAUGUGAAGCGUUCUGGACUUGAAGGAUCUCAUCUCCUCCUACCGGAUUUUCCAACCUGACUGUUUUAUAAAAAAGACAGACAACUGUUUGCCUCGACAUUCAAGGUGUUAAGCUUUCUAUGCUUCAUUAAAAAUAACCUGUCCUUCCUUACAAGGGGAAAGAAAAACAAAACCAAAAAAACGCGGGGGGGCAUGAAGCGAAAAAUACAAAUUGCAGCCACGUGGGAAGCCCUUACUUGGAAUACUAUCUCACUACUCCAUCAUCUUCAAAAGCAGAAUGCAACAAAUCCUAAGUCUUAGAAAUGCUGUGCUCACAUUCAGCUUAUUUUAUUCUUAUUUGUUGCUGUUGUCUUCCUGUCAGAGGAAGCAGAUUUUCCCUUACAGCGCUCCUCUCACAGUACUUAGGUAUUCUUCAGGACAGGAGGAAUGCAGGUAAUUUAAGUGAAAAAAAGUUGUGAGCAUGGAUAUCACUCUGAAAAUGAGAAGAUAGGCUCUGUCUCUAAAAAGAGGUAAGUGAAAAGUGUAACGAAAGUGUAGCUCAUGCAACUGCAGCCCUGGAUAAGAAAACAGCAAGUGUCUUGCAUUUUUUAAGAUUAAAAAGCAAGCAUCUAUGCUCCUGAAAUUCCAUCCACUAUUUCAAGCACAUAUGGCAG